rnacentral:lncRNA from 1 species
CAGUCUAUCAGUCAGUCAGUCAGUCAGUCAGUCUAUCAGUCAGUCAGUCUAUCAGUCAGUGUGUCAGUCAGUCAGUCUAUCAGUCAGUCAGUCAGUCAGUGUGUCAGUCAGUCUAGUCAGUCUAUCAGUCAGUCAGUCAGUCAGUAUAUCAGUCAGUCUAUCAGUCAGUCAGUCUAUCAGUCAGUCAGUCAGUAUAUCAGUCAGUGUGUCAGUCAGUCAGUCAGUCUAUCAGUCAGUGUGUCAGUCUAUCAGUCAGUCAGUGUGUAAGUCAGUCAGUGUGUCAGUCAGUCAGUAUAUCAGUCAGUCAGUAUAUCAGUCAGUCAGUGUGUCAGUCAGUCAGUAUAUCAGUCAGUCUAUCAGUCAGUCAGUGUGUCAGUCAGUCAGUGUGUCAGUCAGUCUAUCAGUCAGUCAGUGUGUCAAUCAGUCAGUAUAUCAGUCAGUGUGUCAGUCAGUGUGUCAGUCAGUCAGUAUAUCAGUCAGUCAGUGUGUCAGUCAGUCAGUGUGUCAGUCAGUCAGUCAGUGUGUCAGUCAGUCAGUCAGUCUAUCAGUCAGUGUGUCAGUCAGUCAGUCAGUCAGUCUAUCAGUCAGUGUGUCAGUCAGUC